AGCCUUUAUAAGGAUGCACAUCUGCCAAAACAAUCUUGCGUGUUUUGCGAAUAUAAAAUUCAUCAAACAUUAUGGAGCUUCCUCAAGCAAAAAGAAAGGUUUCUGCCGUGUGGGACCACUUUGAUGUCAUUUCGGAAAAUAAGGUUAAAUGUCGCAAUUGCUCAACAGAGCUUGCAUAUUUAAAUAACAGCACCUCCUCAAUGCUGAGGCAUUAUAGGGCCAAGCAUGAGAGUGAAAUCCAUGAUACACCCAUGAUGAACUCAGGACUGCCAGCCCCUCGCUGUUGUGGAGAAUGAAGGGUUCAGGGAGCUGGUUCAGCUCCUUGAGCCCUCAUAUGUUUUGC